rnacentral:misc_RNA from 1 species
GAAAUGCGAUAAGUAAUGUGAAUUGCAGAAUUCAGUGAAUCAUCGAAUCUUUGAACGCACCUUGCGCUCCUUGGUAUUCCUUGGAGCAUGCCUGUUUGAGUAUCAUGAAAUCUUCAAAGUAAAUCUUUUGUUAACUCAAUUGGUUUCUACUUUGGUAUUGGAGGUCUUUGCAGCUUCACACCUGCUCCUCUUUGUUCAUUAGCUGGAUCUCAGUGUUAUGCUUGGUUCCACUCGGCGUGAUAAGUUAUCUAUCGCUGAGGACACUGUAAAAGGUGGCCAAGGUAAAUGCAGAUGAACCUCUUCUAAUAGUCCACUGACUUGGACAAUACUUUUAUGAUCUGAUCUCAAAUCAGGUAGGACUACCCGCUGAACUUAAGC